AUGGCCGCAGAGCCGUGAAAGUGGAGGGGGCUGAGGGAGGGCGGGGAAGACGGUCUGAGGGCGGACCUAGGGGGGAGGAGGAGGAAGAGUUGCUGCUGAAAGGAGGUGGCGAAGGAGGAGCCGGAGCAGCUGCUGCCAGCCGGCGGGCACUAGAGUCCUGCCCGCUGUCGCACGAGUAGCCACGGGCGCGAUCGGGGCCAGACGUCUCCUCCUCCAUGAUCACUUUGGGAGCGGGGGGAAGACUUUGCCCGGCCGUGAGAGCUGGUCUGCGUUUCACUGGCGCGGCGGCAGCGGAGCAGCGGCAGCAGCCGGGUCCGAAUCGGAGCGGCCACAGCCUGGGGCGUGUGCGCCCCGCGCGGAGCGGGCUCGGGUUCCCCACGGAAUGUCCCCGGGGCGCCCCGCGCGCUGACCCCCCAGCCGCCUCCGCCUUCGGCGCCUGCUGCCUCUCUCGGGCGGGCUCGGUGUUCGGGACUGCAAGCUUCCCGGCUCCUGGGCAGUGGGGAAGCCCCCGGGGGCGGGUGACCUCAGCUGGCCACGACCUAGUCCUCCCCCGUGCGUAUCUCGCUUAAGAUGGCAGCGGAGUCAGGGGAACUAAUCGGGGCUUGCGAGUUCAUGAAAGAUCGGUUAUAUUUUGCUACUUUAAGGAAUAGACCAAAAAGCACUGUAAAUACCCACUAUUUCUCCAUCGAUGAGGAGCUGGUCUAUGAAAAUUUUUAUGCAGAUUUUGGACCUCUGAACUUGGCAAUGGUGUACAGAUACUGCUGUAAACUAAACAAGAAACUGAAAUCAUACAGUUUAUCAAGAAAGAAAAUAGUGCACUACACCUGUUUUGAUCAACGGAAAAGAGCAAAUGCGGCAUUUUUGAUAGGUGCUUAUGCCGUAAUCUAUUUAAAGAAGACACCAGAAGAAGCCUACAGAGCACUCCUAUCUGGCUCAAACUCCCCCUACCUUCCGUUCAGGGAUGCUUCCUUUGGAAAUUGCACUUACAAUCUCACCAUCCUCGACUGUUUGCAGGGAAUCAGAAAGGGAUUACAACAUGGAUUUUUUGACUUUGAGACAUUUGAUGUGGAUGAAUAUGAACAUUAUGAGCGAGUUGAAAAUGGUGACUUCAACUGGAUUGUUCCAGGAAAAUUUUUAGCAUUUAGUGGACCACAUCCAAAAAGCAAAAUUGAAAAUGGCUAUCCUCUUCACGCCCCUGAAGCCUACUUUCCUUAUUUCAAAAAGCAUAACGUGACUGCAGUCGUGAGGCUGAACAAAAAGAUUUAUGAGGCGAAGCGCUUCACGGACGCGGGCUUCGAGCACUACGACCUCUUCUUCAUAGACGGCAGCACGCCCAGCGACAACAUUGUGCGGAGGUUCCUGAACAUCUGCGAGAACACGGACGGGGCGAUCGCGGUUCACUGCAAAGCUGGUCUUGGAAGAACAGGGACGUUGAUAGCCUGUUAUGUCAUGAAACAUUACAGGUUUACACAUGCUGAAAUAAUUGCUUGGAUCAGAAUUUGCCGGCCAGGCUCCAUUAUAGGACCCCAGCAGCACUUCCUAGAAGAAAAACAGGCAUCGUUAUGGGUCCAAGGAGACAUUUUCCGAUCCAAGCUGAAAAAUAGACCAUCCAGUGAAGGAAAUAUUAAUAAAAUUCUUUCUAGCUUGGAUGAUAUGUCUAUAGGUGGAAACUUAUCUAAAAUACAAAACGUGGACAGAUUUGGAGAGAAUAAUUUAGAAGAGGAUGAGGAUGUGGAAAUGAAAAACAGUAUAACCCAGGGAGACAAACUACGUGCCUUAAAAAGUCAGAGACAGCCACGCUCCUCACCAUCCUGUGCAUUCAGGUUGGAUGAUAUGAAAGGGCACCCAAGAGCAGUGUCCCAGCCUAUCAGAUUGACUUCGUCCCCACAAGGAUCUGCAACUACUUUGAAGACCUCAAAAGUGGCUUUGUCCCCUUCAGCGACGGCCAAGAGGAUAAACAGAGGUUCUUUGUCCUCGGGUGCCAGUGUAAGAAGCUUUUCCAUAAACUCCCGGCUAGCCAGUUCUCUAGGCAACUUGAAUGCCGCAACACAGGAGCCAGAGAACAAAAAGGCCUCCUCGUCUUCUAAGGCGGGUUUCGUAGCCAGUCCACUCACCAACCUCUUGAACGGCAGCUCCCAGCCGCCUGCCAGAAAUUACCCUGAGCUCAACAACAACCAGUACAGCAGAAGCAACAACAGCAGCGGGAGCACCCUGAGCAACCAGCCGAGCCCUCACAGCAUCAAGACGGAGGAGCACCCCACCCUCCUCCGGCCCUCGUACACCGGCCUCUCUUCUUCCUCAGCGAGAUUCCUGAGCCGUUCGAUCCCCGUAAGUUCGCAGACACCACCUCCUGGUCCUCAGAACCCUGAGUGCAACUUUUGUGCCUUGCCUUCCCAGCCAAGGCUGCCACCCAAGAAAUUUAACAGCUCCAAGGAAGCCUUCUGAGCGAUGCCUUCCCUCUGUGCUGUGAAACUGUCUAUGCACGUCCAUUCUGCUGGCUCCUCUUCAAUCCCUUCAGUCUGAAUAUGUUCAUUACUAAGCCCCCGCCACUCCGGUGAAAGCGCUCCGCUCUUAGACACCAGGUCUUCAUCUGGACAAGCAAUGCAGAGAGAGAGAGAGAGCAGCUGCUUGUCGGAGGAGUCUUUCUGCCUUCCCGCCUUAAAUUAAGGAGAGCGCUAACAUAAGACCUUCAAGAGACUUGAAACCAGAAAAACUCUGGCUAAUGACUACACUAAAUGCACUGAAACUAGGUUUAUGGAGCUGUCAACACUCAGACAGUUGUAACGUUGAAUUUGGUAUCUUGAAAGGUUAUUUUUAAUGUAUUUCGGCAAUACAUCUAUUAUUACAUGUA